GACGUAGGAGGCGAGCGUUAUCCGGAUUUACUGGGCGUAAAGCGCGUGCAGGUGGUUGGAUAAGUCGUGCGUGAAAGCUCCGCGCUUAACGCGGAGAGGCCGUGCGAGACUGUUCGACUAGAGUCAGAUAGAGGCAAGUGGAAUUCCGGGUGUAGUGGUGAAAUGCGUAGAGAUCCGGAGGAAUACCAGUGGCGAAGGCGGCUUGCUGGGUCUAGACUGACACUCAGACGCGAAAGCAUGGGGAGCGAACGGG
rnacentral:rRNA from 1 species